GGUUAAUUCACUAACAACGCGUUCUAGGGAAACAUAUCUCAGCAGCAAAGGGGUGAGUUAGAAAAGUUGAGCAACUGCCUAACAUUCAGGAAUUUCCUGACAGGUCACUAUGCAAUGUUGUAUUAAUUUGUUAUAUGAAAUAUCGAACAUUCGUGAUUCAUUUUUCUGGAUAUCCUCAUUAUCAGACAUUUUUUGAGAAGUCAUACUUUAAUUCUAUUAUAGUGCUGCCUUCACCCAUGUCCUCGCUAUCUGGGGAAAGUGAUUCAAGUUUAACCCUUUGCAAUGUCUACCUGUUUUAACCUCCACCCAGGAAGAGGGCUGUGACGUGGUCUCUUUAUCCACCUGUCAUUAGUGCGCGUUAUUGGCCAGCGAUAUUGAACUUUUACAUUUUGAUCCUCUUUAACUCCGAUUCUGGAUUUUUGCCAGACAGCCCGGGGCCUUUGCAUUUCACGCUAGUAUUUUGGGUAACUAUGGACUAUUGUUUAUGUCUGAUUCAUUGAGAGAAGACGUUUCAGGAAGAUUGGAACCUUUACGUCUGAUCUCAGCUAUUUAUAAUUCGAACCAUCAAGAAGGAUUUGGUUCGAGUAUAAUUAUGCACUCUCGACUUUACAGAAUCAUCGAAAGUCCUCGGAAUCUGCUCCUAUGGCAAGAAUUUCAAUCUGUCAGAAAAUUCCACGUUACAAAACUGCCCCGUGCUACCAACUCAAUCUGUGUUCAGUUGUUUUAAUUUAUUUUAGAUAAAUAAAGUAAAAAGUAUGUGGAACUUGUGAUCUAAAACCACUUCCAAUGACCACGCUAAGUUUAUAUUUAGAUUAAUGAGGGCGAUGAAUUUGGAGGUGUCAAAUUUUUUACAUUUUAUUCUGUUAACAAAUUACAUAGUUACAUAGUUACAUAGUUACAUGGUUACAUAGUUAUAUGGUUACAUAGUUACAUAGUUAUAUGGUUACAUGGUUACAUAGUUACAUGGUUACAUGGUUACAUAGUUACAUGGUUACAUAGUUAUAUGGUUACAUAGUUACAUGGUUACAUAGUUACAUGGUUACAUAGUUACAUGGUUACAUAGUUACAUAGUUACAUGGUUAUAUGGUUACAUAGUUACAUAGUUACAUGGUUACAUGGUUACAUAGUUACAUGGUUACAUAGUUAUAUGGUUACAUAGUUACAUGGUUACAUAGUUACAUGGUUACAUGGUUACAUGGUUACAUGGUUACAUGGUUACAUAGUUAUAUGGUUACAUGGUUGCAUAGUUGUAUGGUUACAUAGUUACAUGGUUACAUAGUUGUAUGGUUACAUAGUUACAUAGUUAUAUGGUUACAUGGUUAUAUGGUUACAUAGUUACAUAGUUACAUGGUUACAUGGUUACAUAGUUACAUGGUUACAUGGUUAUAUGGUUACAUAGUUACAUAGUUACAUGGUUACAUGGUUACAUAGUUACAUGGUUACAUGGUUAUAUGGUUACAUAGUUACAUAGUUACAUGGUUACAUGGUUACAUAGUUACAUGGUUACAUGGUUACAUGGUUACAUGGUUACAUAGUUACAUAGUUAUAUGGUUACAUAGUUACAUAGUUACAUAGUUACAUAGUUAUAUGGUUACAUAGUUACAUAGUUACAUAGUUACAUAGUUAUAUAGUUAUAUGGUUACAUGGUUACAUGGUUACAUGGUUACAUGGUUACAUGGUUACAUAGUUAUAUGGUUACAUGGUUGCAUAGUUGUAUGGUUACAUAGUUACAUGGUUACAUAGUUGUAUGGUUACAUAGUUACAUAGUUAUAUGGUUACAUGGUUAUAUGGUUACAUAGUUACAUAGUUACAUGGUUACAUGGUUACAUGGUUACAUAGUUACAUGGUUACAUAGUUAUAUGGUUACAUAGUUACAUGGUUACAUAGUUACAUGGUUACAUGGUUACAUGGUUAUAUGGUUACAUAGUUACAUAGUUACAUAGUUACAUAGUUAUAUGGUUACAUGGUUACAUGGUUACAUGGUUACAUGGUUACAUGGUUACAUAGUUAUAUGGUUACAUGGUUGCAUAGUUGUAUGGUUACAUAGUUACAUGGUUACAUAGUUACAUGGUUACAUAGUUACAUAGUUAUAUGGUUACAUAGUUACAUAGUUACAUAGUUACAUAGUUAUAUGGUUACAUGGUUACAUGGUUACAUGGUUACAUGGUUACAUGGUUACAUGGUUACAUGGUUACAUAGUUAUAUGGUUACAUGGUUGCAUAGUUGUAUGGUUACAUAGUUACAUGGUUACAUAGUUACAUGGUUACAUAGUUGUAUGGUUACAUAGUUACAUAGUUAUAUGGUUACAUGGUUAUAUGGUUACAUAGUUACAUAGUUAUAUGGUUACAUGGUUGCAUAGUUACAUGGUCACAAACGCUGCUUUGGAGCCAGCCGGAGCACCCCGUAUUGCAGCCGCAGGAGCUCCCGAAAGUUGACCGGCAAAAACACCAAACGCCUUGGAUCUAUUUUGGGUAUAGGACCAUUAUGUAUUAUUUGCGGAGUUAUGUUGUUUUUAUAAUGUUUUGGGGCACUUUCAUGUUUUUGUGGUGGAGGCAGUGGCGUACUAUGGGGGGUGCGUAGGGGGCGGUCCGCCCCGGGUGCCACCAGGGUGGGGGGUGCCAUGACCAGGGUGCCCCCCCCCCACAUGCUGCAGCCGCCCGUGCGCUCUGUAGAGAGCCUCAGGCGGCUGCAGCUUUGCCCGGGCGGUGCGUCCAUGAGGGCGGACCGCACCGCCCGGGCGCAGCCUGAGGAGAGGGGCUGACAGGAGGGAGCCUGUCAGUUUCCUUUGUCAGUUUCCUUUGCUGUAGCGUGGCCGAGCCCUGCAGCAUUGAUAGUCCGCGGGUACAGAGAGCAGCUGUCUCCUGUACCCGGCCGGACUAACAGGAAGUGCACACAGUGUGUGGACUUCCUUUUAGUCCGNNNNNNNNNNNNNNNNNNNNNNNNNNNNNNNNNNNNNNNNNNNNNNNNNNNNNNNNNNNNNNNNNNNNNNNNNNNNNNNNNNNNNNNNNNNNNNNNNNNNAUGUAAAACACGGGCGUACCUGCAGCACUGGCGCGAAGUUAACAUGGCAAAUCAUAUGGGUGGGGUAAUUGUGAUGUCACAUGGGGGGGGCGGCAAACUUUACUUUUGCCUAGGGCGGCAAAAAUCCUUGCACCGGCCCUGGCUGGAGGGGGCUGUGUGAGCUGUGGCCGCACAGUGUCCCAUGGUCUGUCUGUAACUGACUGUGUGACUGUCUGCCUGUAACUGAGUGUGUGACUGUCUGUCUGUAACUGACUGUGUGACUGUCUGCCUGUAAAUGUGUGUGUGGGGCUGCAGGGAUUUUGUAUUGGGACAGGAGUCUUUAUAAGGGGGGAUAAGCAGGGGAUUUGUGGAAGGGGGUUGCGGGGGUUUUGUAGACGGGCAGUACAGGAUUUGUAGGAGGGGCAGGACAGAGGUUUUGUAGGAGGGGCAGGGCAGGACAAGGGUUUUGUAGGAGGGGCUGACAGCGGUUUUGCAAAGUUUACAAAUUGCAAAAAAAAGAAAGAAAACCUUUAACAUUUUUUACAGGUUUUUUUUUUUUGGGGGGUGGGGGCGGGGGGGUGCCAAGCACAGGAUCCGCCCCGGGUGCCAAAUGCUCUAGGUACGCCCCUGGGUGGAGGUACCCAGUCGGGUUACAGGGAGCUCCACUACAUAUCAUGCUAACACAAAUAUAUACCGAUAUCACAAAUAUAUACCGAUAUCACAAAUAUAUACCGAUAUCACAAAUAUAUACUGUGAUGGUAGUCACCGUCUCUGGGGAUGGAAGAUACAUACUAUAUGUAGGUCCCCAGAUUCCUUUGGUGUUUUGGACACCCUGUGCCCAUUAUUGGUGCUUGUCUGUGCUUCUCCCCAUCCCCUUUUUUCCUGUCACAUUGUUUCCCCAGUAGGGUGUUGUCCCAGGGACACUGCCAGAUCAGUUUAAACUAGCUGUCCUUUCCCUCCUCAAUCUCCUAUCAGCCCUUGCUAUUGUCUGACCUCACCCUUCCUUGUACUAUAGUGCUAUAUGUACCCUAUUGUAGGUAAAUGAGGCUGUCGGGGGUUUGUUGCUGUUUUAACCUUCACCAAGUGUUGUCAUAUUGUUGAAUGUUUGGCCUUGUUACAGACACACACAGGUUAAAAUGGCAAUUAAAGGUUAAUUUCCCACACCUGUGGCUUUUUAAAUUGCAAUUAAUGUCUAUGUAUAAUUAGUCAAUGAGUUUGUUAGCUCUUAUGUGAAUGCACUGAGCAGGCUAGAUACUCAGCCAUGGGGAGCAGAAAAGAUAUUUGUAUAAUGUUAUCAUUUCCUCUCUCAGGCGACAUUUUUCUAAACUAAAUAGGUUUAAAUUUGUUAACCUUUCUUCAUAGCUGAUAUGUUCCAUUCCUUUUAUUAAUUUUGUAGCUCGCCUCUGAGCUUUUUCUAGUGCCAUAAUAUUCUUCUUUAGAACAGGUGCCCAAAAUUGGACAGCAUAUUCCAUAUGUGGUCUUACUAGUGAUUUAUAAAGAGGCAAAAUGAUAUUCUCAUCCCGAGAAUGAAUGCCCUUUUUCAUGCAUGACAAUACCUUACUCAGAGGCGUGGCCUGACCGUUGAGAGAGCUGGACGUGUCUCACUAGAGCUCCGCUCACUAAGCGCCUAAAUAGACUACAAAAGCGACCAAAGACCCAGAAAAUUUGCUGCCAUGGAUAAAAGAAACCCCAAAAAGCAACCCAAGAAGGGUCCUGACACCAGGACUACAGUGCUUGAUCUUUUAACUGCCCAGAAAUACGGUCUGCCGGAGGGACAAGAUGGCGGAGCGGGGUCGCCAUGGGCCUCACCACAUGCUGUGCGGGAUGCUGCCCUGGCCCGACUCACAGAGGUCCACUCGUACCUGGCGGGAGAAAUCGACAAAUCGAUGGCGGUACUUCAGACGAAGAUCCAGGCGCUGGGAACACGCACCGCAAGGCUGGAAGAAUGUAUGGAGACUAACUCCCAGGCACAUAAUGAGCUGGUAGCACAAGUGAACUGGAUGGCUGCCCACAUGGCGGAGACGGAUCUGGCCCUGGAGGAUAUGGCUCACAGAUCGUGGUGCAAUAAUCUGAGGCUGCAGGGCCUGUCUGAGGGUGAUGAAAGUGGAUUACAAGAGCUUGUGCACAAGAUACUAAGGCCACUACUACCUGAUGUCCCAGACGACCGGUGGCACAUGGAGAGGGUCCACAGGGCUCUGAGAGCAAAAAGGGCGGACGCCACUGCACCAAUUAUCAGAUUUCUGCACUUCGGCACUAAAGAGGCCCUAAUGAAGAAGAGCAGAUAGGGGCCCAUCCGUUACGAAGGGAAAGCAGAUAGCGUUAUACCAAGACCUGGCACCCUCUACGUUACAGCGGCGAAGGGAGUGGAGGCCCAUAACUGAAGCCCUUAGACACGCAGGCAUCAGAUACGUGUGGGGUUUCCAUUUAAAUUGAUGGCGUUCCAAGGGGACCGGGUCCACAUCUUGGCGCCAGGAGGCGACCCGCAGUGGCUGUUUCGGGGACUGGGCAUCCAGCCUCCGGCGGACCUCCCCAGCAUUGAGAUCCGUCCGGCAGAGUUACCCUUGAUCCCAGUCGAAUGGCAGGAGGCGGGAGCACGAAGCCACCGGUGAAGGUUAUGGGUAUCGUUUUAAGAGGGGGCCACAGUGAUAAGGGAUUUAGAAAAGUGGACGGACAGACCAAUAUCGUGGAUAGGACGGAUCCAUUCCGUCAAGAUGAACAUUCUCCCACGCCUCCUUUUCCUAUUUCAAGCACUACCCAUUCGCAUCACAAAAGCACAACUGGUACCCCUGCAACGGGAGAUGGAGAAUUUUAUAUGGUAAAACAAGAGGCUUCGGAAAUCUAGACAGGGAAUGUACAGACAGAAGGACAGAGGAGGGUUGGGCCUCCCAAAUCUUUAUUUCUAUUACUUAGCAGCCCAUCCAUCCCAGGUGGCCAUGUGGCACUCCACCCCCAGCUAACAAUGUGGGUCCCCAAGGAACAUUAGAAUAGAGUGACAUGCCCUGCGAUAUUAAACUCGUUGUGCAUAUGGGAUGCGACGACAACAAAAUAUGAGUUGGCCUCCUCACUGUCCUCAUUGAUGCUGAUAUUUUGGAAUAGGACCUUUCCUCCGGGUAUGGCGGUAAGAGAGUUCCACAGCCUGGAAGGGGCGGGCCUACAGAGGAUCUGCCACUUAUUCCGAGGUGGGGAAAUAAUACAGUUUGAAGAUCUUAAGCAACAUCACCACAUGACGCCCGCGGACUUCUUUAGAUAUUUACAACUCAGGGACUUCGCCAAUCGCCCUCAGAUAAAAGAGGCGGCCCAUAAAGCACUGACAUUCUAUGAGAGGUGGUGUGCCAAUGGCACAGCACCCAAGGGAAUGAUAACUCUGUUUUAUGCCCAGCUCUGUUCCGUAACCACUGAAUGGGGAUGACUGACAGACAUUGACCAGUGGGAACGGGACCUAGGCGAGUCCCUAGAGGGCAUUGAGUGGCAAGAAAUCUGGGAAGCAAACAAACGUCUGUGUGCGUGACUUUACAGGAACAAUCAUGGAAAGCCAUGCUGCGAUGGUAUACCACACCAGUACAACUAUUUAGAAUGCGAAAAACAAGGGGUUGCAGCACUAAAGGAACUUAUUUGCACAUGUGGUGGGAAUGCCUGAUAAUCGCCGACUUUUGGAAAUCAGUGAAAAACUUGCUGGCACAGAUCUUCGAUCGAUCACCAGCCUUAAACCCGUGGGUAAACCUACUAAAUAGGUCUGUGGAGGGAUGGAGCAGGAAGGAACAGAAGCUGUUGCACAAAAUCACCCUAAGCGCGCGCAGGGCCAUAGCAUCGACAUGGCUAACUCCAGAGGGCCCGACAUUUGAGGGAGUAAUCUCAAGGACCAAAGAUAGCAAAUUGAUGGACGACUUAACAGCAAGGGUUAAAGGGACCACGGUAGCAUUCCAGAGAAUCUGGGAACCAUGGGAUAACAGCCAAAUGGGAUAGGAGCACCCAAAAUGGACAUAGCUGGAACCAGCAACACUGCAGAGACCCAACAGAAAAUCCAACCCGUCAAUAAUCCUAGAGAAUGACGAGUGCGCAGUGAUGGAGGCCCGCCGACAUCACGAUCUCCCCCCCCCCACACCGGCGCCUACCCCUCCACCUUUUUACAUGUCUAUUUUCCUUCUCUCUUUUCUCUUCUCAUCUUAACUAUUCUAUAUCCCAUACUAUCUAUGGGAAAUAGUGAAGAAUGGGUGUGGGAAGCCACACCAAAAGGCUGAUACAGCUAGAGAUAAACAGAAAGUGAGGCGACAUAUCCCAUGUAGUAGCAACUGUGCGCUUUGUAUGAUCCAUUUUAUGAAAAACAGAAAAAACCUUGGCAGACAGUUAUAAGCGCAGUGUAGUAAUGACCCGUUACAGUGUGACUCAUUGUAUAUAAAUCGAAAAUAUUGGAAUUGUACAAAAGGCUUUUGCAUAAGCCGAAAUGCUAAUAUUUUGCAUGCUGUUUUCUGCCAAGAUGAAAAAAUAAAGAAUAUAUUAAAAAAAUGACAAUACCUUACUGGCCUUGGCCACUGCUGAUUGACAUUGCACAUUGUUGCAUAGUUUGUUGUCUAUAACAAUUCCCAAGUCCUUUUCAUGUGUUGUUAUCCCUAAUUCGCUUCCAUUAAGGGUAUACGUUGCUUGUGUAUUCUUUACGCCGAAGUGCAUAACUUUGCAUUUUUCAACAUUAAAUUUCAUCUGCCAUUUGAGUGCCCAGUCCCCCAGUCUAUCUAAAUCUCUCUGCAGCAAAGUAAUAUCUUGCUCACAUUGUAUUACUUUACAGAGUUUUGUGUCAUCUAAAUAUCUUUAUUAAUUGUCUUCUGGGGGAAACCAUUCUACGAGCUCUACCAAUAAACCAGCAGGAGAUCGGUCACACAGUGUACAAGACUUGCAGCUCCCACACACCACAAUGUGAGGAAUGUGCGCAUGUGUGGGGUGCCUUAAAUUCAUGCCAUGACACCAACAAAAGGUCGCCAUUAACUAUUUUAUGAAUCCGUAAAAAAGAUAACGGACUCUUGUUGUGUUCAAGAAACAGCAUGGGAAAAGGAUUCAAACUUGUACAGACUUGGGCGACAUUGGGGUUCUGCUGGGAUUCAACCCCUUCAGGACUGGCCUGUUUUUGCGAUGUUGUACGUUAAGGACCAGGGCUGUUUUUACACUUUUGUGAUGUUUGUGUUUAGAUGUAAUUUUCCUCUCUCUUGUUUACUGUUCCCAUACAAGUUAUAUAUUGUUCUUUUCAGGACAAAAAGGGCUUUCUUUACAUACCAUUAUUUGUAUCAUGUCAUAUAAUUUACUUAAAAAAAAAAAAUAUGGUGAAAAAUUGAAAAAAAUACAUGUUUUUUUUUACUUUUGCUUGAAAAAACUUUUACUUACUAUCAGGUUCCCGCGGGCGGCUGCGAGGGGAGGCUGCACUCCGCUCGCAGUACUCACCCUCCAGCCGUCCACGGUCCCCUCCUCCUCGUGGGUACGGCGAGUGGCAUCCUUCCAGCCUCGGAUGCCGCCCGCCGUUCCCUCCACGUCCCCCAGCGGCAGCAUGCAUGACGCUGCACGCUGGGAGACCGCCCAGGUUUAUACACGCCGGGGUCAGUCACCUGACCCGGCGUUAAAGGCACAGUGCCUCAAUCACAGUGGGAGGUCUAGAUAUCUCCCACGUGUGAUUGUUAAUUCUGAUUGGAAAUUAUCCAAUCAGAAUUAACCUGAUGGUUUAAAUACUUACCUUUCCUGUUCCUCCCUGCCCUGUUGUGGUCUUUUCCUGCUAGUAUUGAUACUGAACUUGUGUUUCUGGUUACAUACUCUCCGGCUUGUUUAUCUGACUCUGUGACUUUCUCCUACCCUUUGACCUCGGCUUGUUUCACGUUAUUCUGUCUUCUGGUUCCCCUUUACUCGGCUUGUUUCCUGACUAUUCUGUGUGUGCUUAGCCCGGCCACUCUAAGGUCCGGUACGGCACCUUUUGUGUGUGUGUGUGUACCAGCGUGUUGGGUUCCCCGAAUCGUGACAUUACAACAGGGCCAUAAUGGAACCUGCUGACAUACCACAGCUCCUAGUUAAUCAAGAGGCUAGAAUGGAUGGCUUGGACCACCGUAGGAUCAGUUUGCUCAAGCUUUGCAAACCAUUCUGGCUCGUACUGCACACUUGCAACCUGCCGUUCAGGAGGCUGCUGCUGCUGUGCCCGAACCCAUUCCCACUCCAGUACCUGUUCCCGCUCAUGUAGUUCACAUGACGCCGCCACAGUGUUACAGUGGUGACCCAGCAUUGUGUCGUGGUUUCCUCAACCAAAUCGACAUCCAUUUGGUGAUGAAUCCACGCUCCUAUCCCACUGACAGAUCUAAAAUUGCCUUUUUGAUAAACCACUUGUCCGGGAGAGCUUUAGCAUGGGCCAACCCCAUUUGGGAAAAUACGUCUCCUAUGUCCUUUGCUGAUUUUCUGACAGCUUUCAGACGCACGUUUGAUCAACCCGGUAGGGUUGCUUCUGCUGGCAAGGCUCUGCUUAGGGUCCGACAGGGUAACAGGUCUGUAGCAGAUUACACUAUCGAAUUUCGUACUCUAGCAGCUGAAGUGGUUUGGAAUAAUGACGCCCUCGUAACAGCCUUUCAGGAGGGUCUGGCCGCUUAUAUACUGGAUGAAAUAGCAUCCAGGGAAUUACCUGCUCUUCUAGAUGAUGUUAUAGACUAUGUGAUUCUUAUAGAUAACCGUAUUAGAGAGAGGCGUAGCCAAAGACGGUUGGAUACACGGGUGUUACCUGCUCUACCCAGUACUUCCCUGCUAGCGUUACCCGCUCCUAUGCAACCAUCCCCUGAACCCAUGCAGUUGGGUGCCACGGGGUUAACUGAGGCCGAAAGAGCGUACCGUAGAAGGGAGGGGUUAUGCCUUUAUUGUGGGAAGAGGGGGCAUCACUGUAAAGCCUGCCCUAAAGUACAGGGAAACUGCAGCACCUAAGGCCUAGAGAGGGGUCGGCCUCGGGUGUUAUGACUUUGUCCCCUCAUAUGUCCAUCUCUAGACCGUUUAUUACGGUUUCUCUCUUGGUCAAUAAAACCACUAUAACAACCAAAGCCCUGAUCGAUUCGGGUGCGGCAGACAACCUUAUGGAUGAGACCUUUGCCAAAACCGCAGCCCUGAAUUUGAUCCGAAAGGAGACACCCUUGGCCAUUGAGGCCAUAGAUGGUAGACCACUGGAGAAACCUCUGGUGACCCAUGAAACCCAGGAAAUAGUUAUGUCUGUGGGUAUUUUGCACAAGGAGAAGUUAACCUUCCAAAUAAUUGACUCCCCAACAGCCUCCAUCGUUCUAGGUUUUCCCUGGUUAGUUAAACACAACCCUGUUCUUGAUUGGGGUUGUUUAGACAUACUCUCCUGGGGGGAAUCUUGUUAGCGAGACUGUAUGGCUCAUGUACGUCCUGUCUGUUUACUUAACGUGCCCACGGCUAAACCACUCUCGGUUUCUGUUCCCUCUGUUUAUGCAGACCUUGCCUUGGUUUUUGAAAAGAGGGAGGCAGAUAAGCUACCUCCACAUCGUGAGUAUGAUUGUGCCAUAAACCUCUUACCGGGCACUAUGCCUCCUAGGGGAAAGGUCUACCCUCUUUCUGAAAAAGAGAACCAGAUCAUGGAGGAGUACAUACAGGAAUCCCUAAGAAAAGGUUUUAUUAGAAGGUCCUCCUCUCCUGCUGGUGCUGGUUUCUUUUUUGUGGCUAAGAAGGAGGGCGAUUUGAGGCCAUGUAUAGACUACAGGGGUCUGAACAAUAUAACGGUUAAAAACGCCUACCCUAUCCCCCUCAUCACUGAGUUGUUUGAUCGUGUUAAAGGUUCUAAAUUCUUCACCAAAUUAGACCUCAGGGGGCUUAUAACCUUGUCCGUAUAAAGGAGAAUGACGAGUGGAAGACAGCGUUCAACACACGCAGUGGGCAUUACGAAUAUCUGGUCAUGCCUUUUGGAUUGUGUAAUGCUCCUGCCGUGUUUCAGGACCUCAUAAAUGAUGUCCUUAGGGAUCUAUUGCAUGUCUGUGCUGUAGUGUACCUUGACGACAUACUUGUGUAUUCUCCUGAUUUGAAGUCACACCAUAACCAUGUUAGGAUGGUGCUCAAAAGGCUAUUGCAGAACGGACUCUACUGUAAGUUAGAAAAAUGUUUAUUCGAUCAGACCUCUGUGCAAUUCCUAGGAUAUAUCAUUACUGAACAGGGUUUCAGUAUGGAUCCUGCUAAAUUGGAAGCUAUAAUGUCCUGGCCACUUCCCCAAGGACUGAAGGCUAUCCAGCGUUUUAUAGGAUUUGCCAACUAUUAUAGGAAAUUUAUAAAAAACUUUUCAUCACUCAUCUCUCCUAUAACGAAGUUGACAAAAAAAGGUCUACACCCUAGGGUUUGGACUCCUGAAGCCCUUAAGGCCUUCGAAACCCUCAAGAAGGCAUUUGCCUCUGCUCCAGUGCUGCACCACCCUGAUCCUUCUCUUCCCUUUGUUAUGGAAGUAGACGCCUCGGAGUCAGGUGUGGGAGCCGUACUGUCACAGAGGUUGUCUUAUGACAAACCCCUCCAUCCCUGUUGUUAUUUUUCUAAAAGGUUGUCUGAUUCAGAGAAGAAUUACGAUGUUGGGAACAGGGAACUAUUAGCUAUUGUGUUAGAUUUCAAGGAAUGGAGGUACUUAUUAGAGGGUUCUAGACACAAAAUUAUGGUUAUAACAGAUCAUAAGAAUCUAUCCUAUAUUGCUGAUGCUAGAAGGUUAUCUGCCCGCCAGGCUAGAUGUUCUCUAUUUCUCUCACGCUUCCAAUAUGUUAUUACCUAUAGACCUGGUUGCCGUAAUGCCAAAGCUGACGCUAUCUCUCGGCAGCAUGAACCAGUAGAAUUUGUUAACCCGACUCCUGAACCUAUUGUACCUGCGUCUCAGAUAAUAGCUGCUACCCGUUUGGUUGUUUCUUCACCUUUCCUUGAUAGUAUUAAGACAUACCAAACCCAGGCACCCCCUGAGACACCGGUUGGUAAACUAUACGUUGAAGCUUAUGACAGAAAAAAGUUGUUAACUUUAUUUCACACAGCCAAAACUGCUGGUCAUCCGGGGGUUACCAAAACCUACAAGGGCCUCCUUCAACAGUUCUGGUGGCCUUCACUCAAGCGAGACGUAGUUGAUUUUGUUCAGGCUUGUCAGGUCUGCACUCAGUGUAAGUCCCUUAAUGUGAGACCCCAGGGUUUUCUGAUGCCUCUAUCUAUACCCAAGAAACCAUGGACCCACUUAUCCAUGGAUUUCAUUGUAGACCUGCCUCUUUCUGAUGGUCAGACGGUGAUACUGACUGUGAUGGAUAGGUUCUCUAAAAUGGCGCACUUUAUUCCGCUUAAGAAACUGCCUUCUGCGGUUCAGUUAGCUCAGGUGUUUGCCAAAGAAGUGUUCCGAUUGCAUGGGGUACCUCAGGAUAUCGUAUCUGACAGGGGCCCUCAAUUUGUCUCUCGGUUCUGGAGGGGCUUUUGUGCUGAGAUGGGGGUCUCCUUGUCGUUCUCUUCCUCCUAUCACCUGCAAUCUAAUGGUGCGGCCGAACGUGCUAAUCAGUCUGUGGAAUUGUAUUUGCGCUGCUUCACUAAUGCGCACCAGGAUGACUGGUCUCGCCUUCUUCCGUGGGCUGAAUUUGCCAGGAAUACGGUGUCUCAUUCGUCUACUGGCUUAAGUCCUUUUGAGGUUGCUUAUGGGUUUCGUCCUUCUGUCCUUCCCGGUGCGUUCUCCGACAAGGGAAUGCCCGCCUUGGACCAGCACCUCGCCUCUUUGCGGAAGACGUGGGAUCAGGUCCAUGUUGCGCUGUCUCGUUCAGCAGCUGCUCAGAAAAAGUUUGCUGAUCGCCGUAGGGUUGCGGCCCCUUCUUAUGUUCCGGGUGAUAGGGUAUGGUUGUCCUCCCAGAACCUCCGUCUCAAGGUUCCCUCAAUGAAAUUUGCCCCCAGGUUUCUUGGUCCCUUCAAGGUGUUACGUAGGGUUAACCCCGUUUCCUACUCCCUUGAUCUGCCUCCUUCCAUGCGUGUCCCGAACACGUUUCACGUCUCGCUUUUGAAGCCCUUGCUGUGUAACCGGUUCUCUCGUCCCCUCGGGCGGCCCGUUUCCCCUCGAGCUGUCUCUGACGACGUGUACGAGGUGGCUGCCCUUCUCGACUCUCGUGUUUCUAGGGGUCGGCUGCAAUAUUUGGUGGACUGGAAGGGGUACGGCCCUGAGGAGCGGUCCUGGGUUUCGAGCUCCGAUGUGCACGCUCCCUCUUUGGUCCGCUCCUUUCAUGCCCGCUUUCCUUUGAAGCCUUCCACUUCCCGCCCCCUGGGCGGUCUUCGAGGGAGGGGUGAUGUCAGGUUCCCGCGGGCGGCUGCGAGGGGAGGCUGCACUCCGCUCGCAGUACUCACCCUCCAGCCGUCCACGGUCCCCUCCUCCUCGUGGGUACGGCGAGCGGCAUCCUUCCAGCCUCGGAUGCCGCCCGCCGUUCCCUCCACGUCCCCCAGCGGCAGCAUGCAUGACGCUGCACGCUGGGAGACCGCCCAGGUUUAUACACGCCGGGGUCAGUCACCUGACCCGGCGUUAAAGGCACAGUGCCUCAAUCACAGUGGGAGGUCUAGAUAUCUCCCACGUGUGAUUGUUAAUUCUGAUUGGAAAUUAUCCAAUCAGAAUUAACCUGAUGGUUUAAAUACUUACCUUUCCUGUUCCUCCCUGCCCUGUUGUGGUCUUUUCCUGCUAGUAUUGAUACUGAACUUGUGUUUCUGGUUACGUACUCUCUGGCUUGUUUAUCCGACUUUGUGACUUUCUCCUACCCUUUGACCUCGGCUUGUUUCACGUUAUUCUGUCUUCUGGUUCCCCUUUACUCGGCUUGUUUCCUGACUAUUCUGUGUGUGCUUAGCCCGGCCACUCUAAGGUCCGGUACGGCACCUUUUGUGUGUGUGUGUGUACCAGCGUGUUGGGUUCCCCGAAUCGUGACACUUACCUACGAAAGCUAAUGAAACAAACUGCUAAAUAGGCAACCCAGGGUAUUCAAUAUGGGGUAUGUCCAGUUUUUUUUAGUAGCCACUUAGUCACAAACACUGGCCAAAGUUAGCGUUCAUAUUUGUUUGUGUGUGAAAAAAGUAAAAAACUAAAUUGAAUGCUAAUUUUGGCCAGUGUUUGUGACUAAGUGGCUACUAAAAAAGACUGGACAUACUUGCAAUACCUUGGGUUGUCCACUUUUGCAAAUGGUAUGCCAUCAUGGGGGUAAUUCUCAUUCCUGGGCUACCAUAUGCUCUCAAAGGCAAUGUAACCAGCCUGGCAAUUUUCAAUGUAAAAAUAUUUGACCCUGUAACUUUCUAUGACACCCUAAAACCUGUACAUGGAGGGGUACUGUUAUACUCGGGAGACUUUGCUGAACACAAAUAUUAGUGUUUCAAAACAGUAAAACGUAUCACAACAAUUAUAUAUCAGUAAAAUUGCUGUUUGUGUGUGAAAAAUGCAAAAAAGUCACUUUCACUGACAAUAUCAUCGCUGUGAUGUGUUUUACUGUUUUGAAUCACUAAUAUUUGUGUUCAGCGAAGUCUACCGAGUAAAACAGUACCCCCCAUGUACAGGUUUUAGGGUGUCAUAGAAAGUUACAGGGUAAAAUACAGUGCUAGCAAAUUAAAUUCUCUGCACUUUCGGCCUGCGUUGUCAGGCAGGUCCCUCAAAUUGCAAUCAAUAAAAUUACUUAAUCAUGUAAAAAUAUUGCAUAAAUACGCACGUAGAAUUUAAAUAUAUAUGCAUAUUUAUAUAUUUGAAGUCUACGUGUAUAUUUAUAUAAUUAUUUAUGUAAUUUUGUAUAUGGAUAUAUGUAUAUUUCAUAUUUUUAUUUAUUUAUAUAUACAUAGAUAUAUAUACAAUCUCUUUCUAAGUGUAUUUUGAUAUAAAUAUAUAUAUUAAUAUCAAAAUACAGUUAGAAUAAAAUUUCAUACAGAUAUAUCAUUUUUUUAAAUUUUUAUUAUUAUUUUUACAUAUUUUUUAUUUAAUUUACUUAUUAUUUGUAUUUUACAAUAUAUAUAGUUAUUAAAUAUAUUAUAUAUAUAUACACGUGUGUAAUUUAAUUUUAAGUGUAUUUUUAUAUUAAUAUAUGAAUGUAUUAAUAUAAAAAUACACAGUAUGACCUUAUAUAUAUGAUAUAUACACAUAUAUUUUAUAGAUAUAAUAUAUGUGUAUAUAUCAUAUAUAAAUAUACACAUAUAUAAUUAUAUUUUUUUAUUAAGAUUUUAAAAAAAAAACAAUUAUUUUUUUUUAUUUUACACUAGCCAGGGAGACUACCUGUCAGCAGAGGCAGUCCCCCUGCAGCCAGACACAUGGACACCUAUUGUCACCAUGUGACCACCCUGGGUCCUAAUUCACCGCGGGGAGAUUGCCUGGGCUGCACAUACCGGGAGCACCGCCAAUCGCCACCAGUGGAACGAAGGCGAUCAGGUAAGUACAUAAUACCGUUGUGACGGUUCAGGACCAUCAACGGUCAUCAGCGGUAAAAUACCGAUGACGGUCCUGAGCCGUCACAGGUUGUGAAGGAGUUAAGCUGCUGUGUGUUUUUGUAUCACAUAAGGGUGCUUGAAUACAACUCCUAAUGUGCAGCCGAAUGGCUAGUACAUUCAAUAUGUGUAUUUCGAAUUCUCACUUCCAGUCUGGAAUAAAAAACAUUUCCUGAGAAGUUUCUGUCACAUCACGGUUCACUGAAUAAAACUGUGACUGAUUUAUUGCUCUAAUUUGUAGUGUUUGUUGUGCUGUUAACUUUUUUUGUACUCUUUUUGUAUUACUUUACCAGCAAUAUUUUCAGUGUAAAAGUAGACAAUCCAAUGGAAUAAAUGAAUAUUCCUUAAUUAAACAAAGAAGUCUUGUUUUUGGGGACGUAAAGGGUUAAUUAGUUGCCUCCAGAAUAGCUGGCGUCGUGUCCGCAGGUAUAAAAUGUAAGUGCUGGUGGGCUAGCGUGACGCACACGGAUUGUAUUUCAGGACUCGCUGUGUGACGCUUUCCUCAAAACAUUGAAAUACAAGUGUAAUGAAACGUAACACUGGUAAACCGUAUCAGGGUGAAUUAUCAGGAAUUUAAAGGUCUCUUCCCAAAAAUUAUUUUAGUAUAAUAAUUCUUUCAUUACGUUUUAAAAGGAAAUAGAUUUUAUUUUUAGUGUUCUAUCUGUAUAAUAUGAGAAAAACUCUUCCCCUUUAGUAUAUGACAGAAUAUUUCAGCUGUAUUAAUACACCUUGAUUGGGACAGUGUUUGAAACUUCCCAGCGUCAUUCCCUGCACAGACCACCAUAGAGAUUAACUAGCGGAUUGCAAACACUGUCCGACCCAAGGUGCGUGUAAAUGGCUGAAGGAUCCUGUCCUAUACUAAGAGUAGGCUGAGGUUUUGUUAUUUUUUUUACAUGCACUUUAUUUUUAAAAAUAGUUUUAAGGUGACAUUCUUUUAAAGGUAAUUUCAAACAGCAAAACUGAAAAAACUGACUUGGACAUUUUUCUAAUUCAUCUUUUUGGUUUGAUAAAAUUUAUAAAUUUGAUAAAAAUUAAGAUGAAAUUAACUCGAAUUCCCAGUAAUUUAUACUGUGUGUAUUUGAGAUUGGUUUCUUAUAAAUAAUUGCCAAAUACAAGAGGUCUAUACAGACUAUUGGAACAGAGCCUGGGUGGAUGUUCCUCCUACCCUAUCGAUUAGCACAAUGUGCCACCACGUGGUUCUGUCUGCAAUAUGUGCGUGCUCGCCUUGCUCUCUAUAGAAUUCAUUGAAUGUGUGCUCUCUCUCUGGCUGCAGGUAUUGAAGACAUGGAUUCCCACUGCAAGCUGACCGGUGGAAUGUGUCUGCAGAAUUGCUCCUUUCCGCUGUUUCCAAGAGGAGAAUGUAGCAAUGGAUUCUGCUGCUCUCCGUUACUGACCUAGUAACCAGUGUAAUAUUAAUACUAGCUUACGCUGUCUCUCACUCACUUUGAAAUGUAGGAAAGACCAGUAUUGGAUCCGCUGAGGAGACAGAGAGCUUCAUGUUUUUUGCAAGUUCUGUAGACAUUUAUUACAAACCAUCCUUAUAUAUCUGUGGUUUUAAGGAACUGUGGCUUCCUGAGAGGUGUGAUAAACAUGAACAAUUCUGAAUGAAAAUACAAACAAAGCACAGUGAAAUGAGUCCUUCUUCUGACCACCCAUCGAUGGCUCUUCUCACCACCCAUCGAUGGCUCUUCUCUUCACACGCAGUGACCAAACAUCUCCUACAAGUGUUGGCAGCAAUGGCUACUAUAAUUCAUCAGCCAUAAUAUAUAAACACAACCAGAAUAUUUUCCUGUUCACUAUUCCAAGUCCUAUGUACAUUUAAAUAACCAGGGUUCUUGGUACCAGUGUAAUGGUAUUUAAUGUGUACGCUCACCUGCCAAUGUCAAAGUUCACCUCUUAGGAGAGUCCUACCCAUGGUUAGUGGGAGUCUGAGGUUAUUUCAAAGCCAUGUUACAGUGCUGAUGCCCACACAUUGUUGUGUCCUAUUAAGGGUUAUACAGUGUUUAGGGGUUCAUAAGAAUACCUUACACAUUAGAAAUUGUGCCUUUUACCUGAAAGCCGCAAGAUGAAUUGUUAGUGUAGGACUCACCUUAGAGGUUUUGCCUUGACGGGGCAGGUGAGCUGACACUUUAAUGGUAAAUUGGAGUGAUACCAAAAACCUACUGUUAUUUAAAUGUGCAUAGGGAUUUGGGGUAGGAUGCAGGUAACCUUUUUGGUUUAGUUUAUCUCCUAUUCCUACAUAGAAAACAUUGCUUGACCCGCUUAUUUGUGUUGACACCACCAGCAUGAUCAUCAUCAUCACCCUGCUACAAUCUUUUUAAUAUCGUUAAAACCACUCUACAGCUGCUGUCAACAACCACCUCCUCAUUUCAGACAUAAUUUAUGAACAUAAUUCAAGUUGGGUUCGUUCAUUACCAUUUAUCUUCUAGUGUCUGUCCUGAAUGCAUUCUCUCUUCAUUGCUUUUUCUCCAUUCAUUGCACACAGUGAAGUUCAGUCAUCUGAACCAAUUAUACUAAUGACAACCAUUUGGAACCUUCUGUCCAAGCUUUGUGUUGAUAAGUAUCCUUCUCUCAAACCAUCAGCUCAAGUCUUUAACCUCCAUUUAAAAACAUCUAACCUUUCCCAACCAAACUACUACUUCCAGGCUACCACCUCCAAACUACCAGGUAUAGCCUUUCAUCCUCACCCUUCCACCUCCUGACUACAAAGUAUAGCCUUUCCCCUUUAUUCUUCCACCUCCAGACUACAAGGUAUAGCCUUCCUCUUCCAUCUCCACCCUACAGAGACUAAGCUUCCACUUUUACCCCUCCAUCUCCAAUCUACCAGGUGUAGCCUUUCACUUUCACCCUUCCACCUCCAGCCUAGUAGGUAUAGCCUUCUUCUUCCAUCUCCACCCUACCAAGUAUAGUUUUCCAACUUCACCCUUCCACCUCUAGCCCUCCAGGUAUUCAACCUCCAGUCUUCCACCUGCACCUUUCCAUUUCCAGUCUACCAGGUAUAGCCUUCCACCUUCACCCUUCCACCUUCAGACUACCAGUGGAUUGCCUUCAAACUUCCACCUCCAGUCUUCUACCUUCACCCUUCCAUAUCCUGUCUACCAGGUAUAGACUUCCACCCAGUAUAGCCUUCCAAGUCCAGUCUUCUACCUUCACCCUUCCAUCUCCUGUCUAUGACUGUCUCCUCUAUGUAGCGGAUUAAUUAAACGUCAAUCAAAAUUUCUUAUUUUUUCAUUUAUUUUUCAAUAGUACGCUAAUAUGAC
rnacentral:lncRNA from 1 species